UACGUAGGGGACGAGCGUUGUCCGGAAUUACUGGGCGUAAAGGGCGCGCAGGCGGUUUGUCAAGUCAGCUGUUAAAAAUGGGGGCUUAACCCUCAUAUGCUGUUGAAACUGGCAGACUGGAGUGCUGUAGAGGCAAGUGGAAUUCCCAGUGUAGCGGUGAAAUGCGUAGAUAUUGGGAAGAACACCGGUGGCGAAGGCGACUUGCUGGGCAGCAACUGACGCUGAGGCGCGAAAGCCAGGGGAGCAAACGGG
rnacentral:rRNA from 1 species